rnacentral:rRNA from 1 species
UACAGAGGUCUCAAGCGUUGUUCGGAUUCAUUGGGCGUAAAGGGUGUGUAGGUGGCGCCGUAAGUCGGGUGUGAAAUUUCGGAGCUCAACUCCGAAACUGCAUUCGAUACUGCGGUGCUUGAGGACUGGAGAGGAGACUGGAAUUCAUGGUGUAGCAGUGAAAUGCGUAGAGAUCAUGAGGAAGACCAGUGGCGAAGGCGGGUCUCUGGACAGUUCCUGACACUGAGGCACGAAGGCCAGGGGAGCAAACGGG